AGUGAACGCUGGCGGCGUGCCUAACACAUGCAAGUCGAAGGAAGUGGCGCACGGGUGAGUAAUAUAUAGCUAAUCUGCCCCUUGCUGGAGGACAACAGUUAGAAAUGACUGCUAAUACUCCAUAGCAAGGGAUGGGACUAUAUCGUAUCAGCUAGUCGGUGGGGUAACGGCCUACCGAGGCUAUGACGCGUAACUGGUCUGAGAGGAUGAUCAGUCACCUUGGAACUGAGACACGAUCCGAACUCCUUCGAGAGGCGGCAGUAGGGAAUAAUGCGCAAUGGGGGAAUCUGUGACACAGCAACGCCGCGUGGAGGAUGACACUUUUCGGAGCGUAGACUCCUUUUGUUAGGGAAGCGGUACCUAACGAAUAAGCACCGGCUAACUCCGUGCCAGCAGCCGCGGUAAUAC
rnacentral:rRNA from 1 species